AUCGCUUCUCGGCCUUUUGGCUAAGAUCAGGUGUGGUAUCUGUUCUUACCAGUUUAAUAUCUGAUUCGUCCUCUAUCCGAGGACAAUAUAUUAAAUGGAUUUUUGGAAUAAGGAGAUGGAAUAGGAGCUUGCUCCGUCCACUGGAAUUGACCUGGAAUUGCAUCGACCUGGAAUUGCAGUACCUUGGGAGCGGUGCACCACCU
rnacentral:snRNA from 1 species